GCCCUUGUAGUUCAACGGAUAGAACGGAAGUUUCCUAAACUUUAAAUACAGGUUCGAUUCCUGUCAGGGGUA
rnacentral:tRNA from 1 species